rnacentral:rRNA from 1 species
GGAGCUUGCUCCACCGGAAAAAGAGGAGUGGCGAACGGGUGAGUAACACGUGGGUAACCUGCCCAUCAGAAGGGGAUAACACUUGGAAACAGGUGCUAAUACCGUAUAACAAUCGAAACCGCAUGGUUUUGAUUUGAAAGGCGCUUUCGGGUGUCGCUGAUGGAUGGACCCGCGGUGCAUUAGCUAGUUGGUGAGGUAACGGCUCACCAAGGCGACGAUGCAUAGCCGACCUGAGAGGGUGAUCGGCCACAUUGGGACUGAGACACGGCCCAAACUCCUACGGGAGGCAGCAGUAGGGAAUCUUCGGCAAUGGACGAAAGUCUGACCGAGCAACGCCGCGUGAGUGAAGAAGGUUUUCGGAUCGUAAAACUCUGUUGUUAGAGAAGAACAAGGAUGAGAGUAACUGUUCAUCCCUUGACGGUAUCUAACCAGAAAGCCACGGCUAACUACGUGCCAGCAGCCGCGGUAAUACGUAGGUGGCAAGCGUUGUCCGGAUUUAUUGGGCGUAAAGCGAGCGCAGGCGGUUUCUUAAGUCUGAUGUGAAAGCCCCCGGCUCAACCGGGGAGGGUCAUUGGAAACUGGGAGACUUGAGUGCAGAAGAGGAGAGUGGAAUUCCAUGUGUAGCGGUGAAAUGCGUAGAUAUAUGGAGGAACACCAGUGGCGAAGGCGGCUCUCUGGUCUGUAACUGACGCUGAGGCUCGAAAGCGUGGGGAGCAAACAGGAUUAGAUACCCUGGUAGUCCACGCCGUAAACGAUGAGUGCUAAGUGUUGGAGGGUUUCCGCCCUUCAGUGCUGCAGCUAACGCAUUAAGCACUCCGCCUGGGGAGUACGACCGCAAGGUUGAAACUCAAAGGAAUUGACGGGGGCCCGCACAAGCGGUGGAGCAUGUGGUUUAAUUCGAAGCACCGCGAAGAACCUUACCAGGUCUUGACAUCCUUUGACCACUCUAGAGAUAGAGCUUCCCCUUCGGGGGCAAAGUGACAGGUGGUGCAUGGUUGUCGUCAGCUCGUGUCGUGAGAUGUUGGGUUAAGUCCCGCAACGAGCGCAACCCUUAUUGUUAGUUGCCAUCAUUUAGUUGGGCACUCUAGCAAGACUGCCGGUGACAAACCGGAGGAAGGUGGGGAUGACGUCAAAUCAUCAUGCCCCUUAUGACCUGGGCUACACACGUGCUACAAUGGGAAGUACAACGAGUCGCAAAGUCGCGAGGCUAAGCUAAUCUCUUAAAGCUUCUCUCAGUUCGGAUUGUAGGCUGCAACUCGCCUACAUGAAGCCGGAAUCGCUAGUAAUCGCGGAUCAGCACGCCGCGGUGAAUACGUUCCCGGGCCUUGUACACUCCGCCCGUCACACCACGAAGAGUUUGUAACACCCGAAGUCGGUGAGGUAACCUUUGAGGUCCACCGCCUAAGGUGGGAUAGAUGAUUUGGGGUGAAGUCGUAACAAGG